rnacentral:sRNA from 1 species
GGAUGUGAGGGCAAUCUGGCUGCAACAUCUGUCACCCCAUUGAUUGCCAGGGUUGAUUCAGCUGAUCUGGCUGGCUAGGCGGGUGUCCCCUUCCUCCCUCACCACUCCAUGUGCAUCCCUCCCGAAGCUGCACACUCAGUGGAAGAGGACAACCAUCUCAGAUAGAAGGAGUGUACCAUUCUUCGGUCAAGGGAGA